UAAAAAUUUGACAGCAAACUGUCAGUUUGGUUCACAGCAGAUCAGUUACAACAUAAAACAUGUUUUCUGUGGCUCUCCUGCUGCUUUUGGCUGCUGGAUCCUGUGUGCAAUGUGAGCAGCUGACACAACCAGCUUAUGUGACUAAGCAGCCAGGUCAGCGUCUGACCAUCACCUGUCAGGUCUCUUAUUCUGUGGGCAGCUACUACACAGCUUGGAUCAGACAGCCUGCAGGGAAAGGACUGGAGUGGAUUGGUAGCAAAUAUACUGGAGCUUCAUACUACAAAGAUUCACUGAAGAGCAAGUUUAGUAUAGACUUAGACUCUUCCAGCAAGACAGUGACUCUAAAUGGACAGAAUAUGCAGCCUGAAGACACUGCUGUGUAUUACUGUGCCAGAGACCCACAGUAA